rnacentral:lncRNA from 1 species
GGGGCCUCUUUAACGGCUCCCCAUGAAAUAAUCAUUCAUUAUGUCACCAGGAGGGAAGAAAGGGAGUAUUUUGUGAAGCUGUCCCAUUCAAAGCCACCCCCAGAGGCCCGGAGGAGACCACAAAGCUGCGAACACAGCCGGGACCUGCCCACUGACACACUGAAGAGUCAACACGAUUCAGGAAAGCACUUUCAAAGAGUGUUUUAUCUUGGACAGAUAAUAUUCCGUUUUGUUUCUGAGAGGCAAUGACAAUCUCUAGUUCGAUUGUAAAACUAUUUCCUUCAAAUAUACAUUUUUAUC